rnacentral:rRNA from 1 species
CUUUUGUAUAAUGGGUCAGCGACUUAUAUUCUGUAGCAAGGUUAACCGAAUAGGGGAGCCGAAGGGAAACCGAGUCUUAACGGGCGUUAAGUUGCAGGGUAUAGACCCGAAACCCGGUGAUCUAGCCAUGGGCAGGUUGAAGGUUGGGUAACACUAACUGGAGGACCGAACCGACUAAUGUUGAAAAAUUAGCGGAUGACUUGUGGCUGGGGGUGAAAGGCCAAUCAAACCGGGAGAUAGCUGGUUCUCCCCGAAAGCUAUUUAGGUAGCGCCUCGUGAAUUCAUCUCCGGGGGUAGAGCACUGUUUCGGCAAGGGGGUCAUCCCGACUUACCAACCCGAUGCAAACUGCGAAUACCGGAGAAUGUUAUCACGGGAGACACACGGCGGGUGCUAACGUCCGUCGUGAAGAGGGAAACAACCCAGACCGCCAGCUAAGGUCCCAAAGUCAUGGUUAAGUGGGAAACGAUGUGGGAAGGCCCAGACAGCCAGGAUGUUGGCUUAGAAGCAGCCAUCAUUUAAAGAAAGCGUAAUAGCUCACUGGUCGAGUCGGCCUGCGCGGAAGAUGUAACGGGGCUAAACCAUGCACCGAAGCUGCGGCAGCGACACUGUGUGUUGUUGGGUAGGGGAGCGUUCUGUAAGCCUGUGAAGGUGUCUGUGAGGAUGCUGGAGGUAUCAGAAGUGCGAAUGCUGACAUAAGUAACGAUAAAGCGGGUGAAAAGCCCGCUCGCCGGAAGACCAAGGGUUCCUGUCCAACGUUAAUCGGGGCAGGGUGAGUCGACCCCUAAGGCGAGGCCGAAAGGCGUAGUCGAUGGGAAACAGGUUAAUAUUCCUGUACUUGGUGUUACUGCGAAGGGGGGACGGAGAAGGCUAUGUUGGCCGGGCGACGGUUGUCCCGGUUUAAGCGUGUAGGCUGGUUUUCCAGGCAAAUCCGGAAAAUCAAGGCUGAGGCGUGAUGACGAGGCACUACGGUGCUGAAGCAACAAAUGCCCUGCUUCCAGGAAAAGCCUCUAAGCAUCAGGUAACAUCAAAUCGUACCCCAAACCGACACAGGUGGUCAGGUAGAGAAUACCAAGGCGCUUGAGAGAACUCGGGUGAAGGAACUAGGCAAAAUGGUGCCGUAACUUCGGGAGAAGGCACGCUGAUAUGUAGGUGAAGUCCCUCGCGGAUGGAGCUGAAAUCAGUCGAAGAUACCAGCUGGCUGCAACUGUUUAUUAAAAACACAGCACUGUGCAAACACGAAAGUGGACGUAUACGGUGUGACGCCUGCCCGGUGCCGGAAGGUUAAUUGAUGGGGUCAGCGCAAGCGAAGCUCUUGAUCGAAGCCCCGGUAAACGGCGGCCGUAACUAUAACGGUCCUAAGGUAGCGAAAUUCCUUGUCGGGUAAGUUCCGACCUGCACGAAUGGCGUAAUGAUGGCCAGGCUGUCUCCACCCGAGACUCAGUGAAAUUGAACUCGCUGUGAAGAUGCAGUGUACCCGCGGCAAGACGGAAAGACCCCGUGAACCUUUACUAUAGCUUGACACUGAACAUUGAGCCUUGAUGUGUAGGAUAGGUGGGAGGCUUUGAAGUGUGGACGCCAGUCUGCAUGGAGCCGACCUUGAAAUACCACCCUUUAAUGUUUGAUGUUCUAACGUGGACCCGUGAUCCGGGUUGCGGACAGUGUCUGGUGGGUAGUUUGACUGGGGCGGUCUCCUCCUAAAGAGUAACGGAGGAGCACGAAGGUUGGCUAAUCCUGGUCGGACAUCAGGAGGUUAGUGCAAUGGCAUAAGCCAGCUUGACUGCGAGCGUGACGGCGCGAGCAGGUGCGAAAGCAGGUCAUAGUGAUCCGGUGGUUCUGAAUGGAAGGGCCAUCGCUCAACGGAUAAAAGGUACUCCGGGGAUAACAGGCUGAUACCGCCCAAGAGUUCAUAUCGACGGCGGUGUUUGGCACCUCGAUGUCGGCUCAUCACAUCCUGGGGCUGAAGUAGGUCCCAAGGGUAUGGCUGUUCGCCAUUUAAAGUGGUACGCGAGCUGGGUUUAGAACGUCGUGAGACAGUUCGGUCCCUAUCUGCCGUGGGCGCUGGAGAACUGAGGGGGGCUGCUCCUAGUACGAGAGGACCGGAGUGGACGCAUCACUGGUGUUCGGGUUGUCAUGCCAAUGGCACUGCCCGGUAGCUAAAUGCGGAAGAGAUAAGUGCUGAAAGCAUCUAAGCACGAAACUUGCCCCGAGAUGAGUUCUCCCUGACCCUUUAAGGGUCCUGAAGGAACGUUGAAGACGACGACGUUGAUAGGCCGGGUGUGUAAGCGCAGCGAUGCGUUGAGCUAACCGGUACUAAUGAACCGUGAGGCUUAACCUU